AAAAUAAUACUUAAACAGUUUUUAAAUCGCGGACUUAUUGUGCUGACAAUUUAAAAUUGCCUGCACAAUGUUGAUUUUUUCGUUCCCCAAAAAAUAUAAUUGUUAUUGUGAACAAAAAGGACCAAAUCUUAAAAUCUCUAUUCCAAUCUAAUUUUUGUAAGAACAGUUUAAAACAUAAAUUUAAAUUUUAUUUACAAAUUUUAAAUGCUGACCCUUGGAAGGCGAACGAAGAAGUUUUUUCUGAGGAACGGGCAGUUAGUUUUUCCUACCUUCUAUACAUAUAUAAAACUUUUAUUACGAGAUUUGUUGAAAAAUGAUUUCAUUUCCUAAACAAAUUGUAUUAUUAAGUCGUUUCGGAAGUUGUAGAAGUAUAAAGUCUUGAACAAACACCUAACCAAAAUGAUGCUACAAUUAAAUUGAACAAUGGAGAACUAAUUACUAAAAGCUUUUGCAAUUACAAUUAUAAAAAGCUUUAAAUAAUGAAGACGUAAGUUGAUAUUCUUAUUCUAAAGCAAAAAUCUAAAAAAAAUUUUUGGACAUGUGAAUAAAAUCUAUAAAAUUCUCGAGCAAACCUCUACAAAAGUAAAAAUACGAUGGCCUCUUGUUUUAAAGGACAGUGGAUAUAAAAUAAAAA